rnacentral:rRNA from 1 species
UACAGAGGUCUCAAGCGUUGUUCGGAUUCAUUGGGCGUAAAGGGUGUGUAGGUGGCGCCGUAAGUCGGGUGUGAAAUUUCGGAGCUUAACUCCGAAACUGCAUUCGAUACUGCGGUGCUUGAGGACUGGAGAGGAGACUGGAAUUCAUGGUGUAGCAGUGAAAUGCGUAGAGAUCAUGAGGAAGACCAGUGGCGAAGGCGGGUCUCUGGACAGUUCCUGACACUGAGACACGAAGGCCAGGGGAGCAAAUGGG